rnacentral:lncRNA from 1 species
CAAAAACCAAAGCAUUUUGAGAGAAUCUGACAAGGUAAAAUUGUUUAUCAGGUCAAGAUCUAUCUGCCCUGAAAUUUUCAGAUGAAUCAGACAAUCCGUUGUUGGGUUGCUGCCCCUGAAUAUGUAAUUUUAAGGAAAUUUUGCUGUUUUUGGUUAUUAUCUUGAAUAUUAUUAUAGAUAGAGAUAAACUGUAAACAGCAAUAAUGUACAGCAAAGUAAGACCUAAAAAGAAGUCAACAUGACCAAAAUGGUCAAUUGACCCCUAAGGAGUUAUUGCCCUUUAUAUAGUCAUUUUUUUUUAAAAUUUUCACAAAAUUUGUAAAAUUUUACUAACAUUUUCCACUGUAACUACUGGGUCAAGUUCAUUAUAGAUAGAGAUAAUUGUAAGCAGCAAGAAUGUUCAGUAAAGUAAGAUCUACAAACACAUCACCAUCACCAAAACCACAAUUUUGUCUUGAAUCCAUCUGUGUCUUUUGUUUAGUAUUCACAUAGACCAAGGUGAGCGACACAGGCUCUUUAGAGCCUCUAGUUCAAUAUUGAUGCAUAAAUGGCAUCCUGACUUUCUAUCUGACAGGUUUUCAUGUGUCAAUAUUUGUGUUUCUAUGCCUUUAUCUAGUUCUUUUACUUAUUU